AGCGAACGCUGGCGGCAGGCUUAACACAUGCAAGUCGAACGCCCCGCAAGGGGAGUGGCAGACGGGUGAGUAACACGUGGGAACGUACCCUUUGGUUCGGAAUAACUUGGGGAAACUCAAGCUAAUACCGGAUAAGCCCUUAUGGGGAAAGGUUUACUGCCGAAGGAUCGGCCCGCGUCUGAUUAGCUAGUUGGUGAGGUAAUGGCUAACCAAGGCGACGAUCCGUAGCUGGUCUGAGAGGAUGAUCAGCCACGCUGGGACUGAGACACGGCCCAGACUCCUACGGGAGGCUGCAGUGGGGAAUAUUGGACAAUGGGGGCAACCCUGAUCCAGCCAUGCCGCGUGAGUGAUGAAGGCCUUAGGGUUGUAAAGCUCUUUUACCCGGGACGAUAAUGACUGUACCGGGAGAAUAAGCCCCGGCUAACUUCGUGCCAGCCGCCGCUGUAA
rnacentral:rRNA from 1 species